AGAGUUUGAUCCUGGCUCAGAUUGAACGCUGGCGGCAGGCCUAACACAUGCAAGUCGAACGGUAACAUUUCUAGCUUGCUAGAAGAUGACGAGUGGCGGACGGGUGAGUAAUGCUUGGGAACUUGCCUUUGCGAGGGGGAUAACAGUUGGAAACGACUGCUAAUACCGCAUAAUGUCUUCGGACCAAACGGGGCUUCGGCUCCGGCGCAAAGAGAGGCCCAAGUGAGAUCAGCUAGUUGGUAAGGUAACGGCUUACCAAGGCGACGAUCUCUAGCUGUUCUGAGAGGAAGAUCAGCCACACUGGGACUGAGACACGGCCCAGACUCCUACGGGAGGCAGCAGUGGGGAAUAUUGCACAAUGGGGGAAACCCUGAUGCAGCCAUGCCGCGUGUGUGAAGAAGGCCUUCGGGUUGUAAAGCACUUUCAGUUGUGAGGAAAAGUUAGUAGCUAAUACCUGCUAGCCGUGACGUUAACAACAGAAGAAGCACCGGCUAACUCCGUG
rnacentral:rRNA from 1 species